UUACGGCCAUAUCAUGUUGAAACACUGAUUCCUGUAUGAUAACCAAAGUUAAGCAAUGUUGAGCCCAGUCAGUACCUAGAUGGGUGCCCACUUGGGUAUAUCAGGUGCUGUAA